CAUAAUUAAGGGUACGUAGCUCUUUAUUUUGCUGUCAAAUGAAACUGUUUCUUUCUCCCACUCAUCUCAUCACACUCACACGUGAGACAGUGAAUUAGCUAGCCUUUACCCGGUGUAUUUGUUUAAUUAAAUCUUUCUGAGUAUUGGAAUUUGAUACUGUAUUGUUUUGAUGAUGCAGAUUCUAGUCAAGUUCAAGUGAGGGCGAGUCAUACAUGCAGGCUGAAGUCACUCAAUCAGAUAUGAAGUAAGAUAUUGGCAGAAGUUUUCAUUUCAAUGCUGAUCGUUUGUAGCAGCGCCGCCAGCAUAUAUGAAUAAAAUAAGAGUAACUCAAGAACGUGAGGAAUUUGAAGCCAUUGGGAAGCGUGUUGGACUGGGAGGUGCAGCAGCAGGGGGACAAAAAGGAAAUCGCAACAGGAAUUUUCCUUUGCAUUAUAUGUCUACUCGUUGAAGAUACGUGUGUGUUGAAGUCCCGAGAAUUAUUGUAAUUUAAUGAACGGUUGCUAUGAUUUUUGUGAAAACAAAAGAAGGGUAUGUGUGUAUGUAUGCUCUGCUUGAUGUUGUUUGUUAAUGAAUGUGAAAUGGGUCGCGUGUUUCUACUUUGGGGGCAUUAAUUUAUUCAACUAUUCAUAUUUACGAACAAGGAAAAGAUAAAGAAGCUCACGUUUUGGAGCCAGAGACCG